ensembl:lncRNA
AUGCUGUCACUGGACUCUUCUACAGUUUCUCUGCUCAUCAUCACUCUCCUCACAGCAGUCAGAUGUGAAGAACUCAAUCCAGUCAAGGAUGAAGAGUCCAGUUUAGAAGGCACCACAGUGACUCUGUCCUACAGAUUCUCCAGAGAAGCUAAAGGCACUGAUUAUUUCUUCUGGUAUCGACAAUAUCCUGGAAAACCACCGGAGUUCCUGAUCUAUCAUUUAUCAUCAGGAAAAGUAAUGAAACAAGAAAUCUCUGGACUGUCUGUUAAUGUGAGUGAAAGUAAAACACUGAUGACUCUUCAGAUCUCCUCUGCUGCAGUGACAGACUCUGCUGUGUACUACUGUGCUCUGCAGCCCACAGUGACAGGAAACACCAAAACUCUGUACUAAAACCUUUGGAGCAAAGACAACAGAAUACUCCACAACAUCCACUAGAGGGAGACACACACCUUUGUUAGGAUACAGAAUCAUAACACAGCUGUGAUGAGCUUCAGGUGAAGUGAAUGUGAUGUGAGCCUCCUCCUCCUCCUGACUGCAGAAACCUGUCUGACUCCAGCUGUGAACAUCAGUCCACUCACAGCUAACUCCCAGUAAAUUGAUGUGGAUUUCAUCCUGACAUAUAUACCUGUAUACACUAGAUACGUAAUCGCAGUUACUUGAAUAAAUUGUGUGUAAUGAUACAUACUCAUAUAUCAGGGAUAGCUCAGUAGGUAGAGUGGUGGCCCCAUGAUCGGAAGGUCGGGGGAUCGAUUCCCCUGAACAGCUACCCUGAGGUACCCCUGAGCAAGGUACCGUCCCUACACACUGCUCCCUGGGCACCUAAAGACUGCUUCACUGAGUGAAUGGGUUAAAUGCAGAGAGGAAUUUCCCCACGGGGAUCAAUAAAGUACACUUUCUUUCUUUCAUAUACAUGCAUGCUCACAAUGAAGUGUUUAUAUAGGGGAGUCACUGUGUUAAGCAUUUGAUGUUCAAAUCACAUGACCCAUAUAUUAGUGAAGAAUUUGUGCCACUUGUUAUAUGAAUACAUGUUUAUUAAUACUGUUUGAAAAUGUAACCAUGAGGAUCAGAAAGAAACCUUUGAUAGUGUUCUGGCCAAAUAUGACUAGUCCAACAAAGUACUAAUUCAGCUUGGCAUUGCUAAAGUAUGUGCAUAGGACCCCUCCCCAGCAUUUAACUGUGCAGCAGAAGCAUGCAGCUGUGUUUGACUGGACUGCUUCACGCCGUGUGCAGCUCUUUAACUGGCUGUACAACAGAUGGCUUUGGAUGGCAUUAAAGCAAAGGCCCGGGGCCCUUUCUGGGGCUCUAAGACAAAAGCAUACAGCUAUUUAAAUGACUGUAAAGCAAGAAACCUGGCCUUUGCAGGGCAUGUAACUGGGAUUCUGGUUCUCGCCUCAAACACCCGAAGCAUGGAUCACAGUUUAUGUCUGGCAUGUGCGCCGCCCAACAAAAUUGUUGAAUAGAUUAACUGAUUAAUCGCUUUUCUGUAGACAUUCAGACUCACUUUGGCCAUGAAACUGUCAAAGGGACCCAAUGCAGUGAUGGAUGAGAGACUGGUAUGCAAGACGUUAUGGUGUAGGGUCGUGCAGAUCAUAAGUAGGAGAUGAAAAGACAAAAACAAAGGAUGAAAGUAUAUCCAACGACAGGAGGGGGGACCACUGUCCCUGUAAGAUGACUCCGAUAUCCAUUGGGACUCUUUUGUCUGCUGCUUCUUUCCUGUCUGUCUUUUGUGUGUGUUUCUGCUUUAAAGCUCUACACUUGCUUUGCUUUUCAUUCACUUUUCUUGCUUUCUAUGUGUUAUUUCUGCUUUUACAGUUUUUCUCAGUCGCUUUGGUGCGUUUCUCAGAUCAGAAUUGAAAUUCUCAUAACUAUUAGUUCAACCUCCACAACACUCAGUCAUUUGUGCACAUCAUAGUAGCAAUUUCUCCCCUCUCUGAACAAACUGCAAAUGAUCUUGGACAUGAAUCAGUUGCUUCCAUACAUUUCCCUGCUGCUUCCUGACAUUUCCAUUUGCUUAUGUCAUGUCAGUCAAAAGUAAUCAUACCUAUGGAUGCUGAAUAGUCGUUCCCAAUAAAACUAAUAGUCAUACAUCUAUUGCUUGAGUCAUCACACACAAAAUUGUUGAACUAGUUAUCACAUGCCAAAUAUUGGCCAUCUGUCAAGCAAAUCCUAUACCUUUCUGUAUCAUUUUUC